rnacentral:rRNA from 1 species
UACGGAGGGAGCUAGCGUUGUUCGGAAUUACUGGGCGUAAAGCGCACGUAGGCGGCUUUGUAAGUUAGAGGUGAAAGCCCGGGGCUCAACUCCGGAACUGCCUUUAAGACUGCAUCGCUUGAAUCCAGGAGAGGUGAGUGGAAUUCCGAGUGUAGAGGUGAAAUUCGUAGAUAUUCGGAAGAACACCAGUGGCGAAGGCGGCAUCCUGGACCGGUAUUGACGCUGAGGCGCGAAAGCCAGGGGAGCAAACGGG